rnacentral:lncRNA from 1 species
GCCGCAACAUGACCUAUUUAAUAAACAUAUUAAACGAAUCGGAUCGGAUUAUCUAUUUAAUAAAUAAAUCAAAUUUAAAUUUAAAUUUUUUUAUCCAUUUAACAAAUAGAUCGGAUUUGGAUUGAAGAUUUUCUGAUCCAAUCUGCAUUGACUCGAUCCAUUUAUGAUCCGAUCUGAUCUGAUUGCCAUCCGGAGAUGGGGUAUGGUUGGUGUAGAGACAAUGAAAAGAGGGAGCCGUGCAUCGGACUGCAUUCCCGCUUGCCUCUUUCUCGCAUGAUAAGGUCUUGCCACGUGGCACUCCUCGCAGAUUAAAAUGAAGCGUAAGAAAAGAAUCGGUGGAACCCACGCCCGACAACGUCUGAUUUAUAUCACAUGGCCAUAGUGACGGAGUCACUCAGAAUUUGAGCCGCUAGCGGAAGUGCAAGGACUCGGCAUACGCUAGUUCAAAUGGUCCACAUUAAGCCGCACAGCUGAACUGAUGAGAGCUGAGACACUGAAGGCGGUCACGGGAGCUGGAAUCCGCGAGGGACCGGACGCCAUCAAGUUCGCGGUGAAGCGGUUAUCGGACGGUGGUGGGCCUUCCCCACCGCGGAGCUGACCUCGUUCCUUUCCCUUGAUCGCUUUUUCUUUCGUCACGCUGUCCGACAGAG